GGUUAGAUGGCCGAGCGGUCUAAGGCGCUACGUUAAGGUCCCAUAACCCUUAAAACACAACAAACUCUGUUAUCCGUAGUCCGAAAGGGCGUGGGUUCGAAUCCCACUCUAAUCA
rnacentral:tRNA from 1 species